AGUGAACGCUGGCGGCGUGCUUAACACAUGCAAGUCGAACGAGAACGGAUUAUAGCUUGCUAUAAUUGUCAGCUAAGUGGCGCACGGGUGAGUAAUAUAUAGAUAACCUGCCCUCUAGAAAGGAAUAACAGUUGGAAACGACUGCUAAUGCCCUAUAUGCCUUUAAUACAUAAGUAUGCAAGGGAAACGCUUUAGUGCUAGAGGAUGGGUCUGUAUGGUAUCAGCUUGUUGGUGAGGUAAUGGCUCACCAAGGCUAUGACGCCUAACUGGUUUGAGAGGAUGAGCAGUCACACUGGAACUGAGACACGGUCCAGACUCCUACGGGAGGCAGCAGUGGGGAAUAUUGCACAACGGACGAAAGUCUGAUGCAGCAACGCCGCGUGGAGGAUGACACAUUUCGGUGCGUAAACUCCUUUUAUAUAGGAAGAUAAUGACGGUACUAUAUGAAUAAGCACCGGCUAACUCCGUGCCAGCAGCCGCCGUAA
rnacentral:rRNA from 1 species